rnacentral:rRNA from 1 species
CCCUUAGAUGUUCUGGGCCGCACACGCGCUACACUGAAGGAGGCAGCGUGUACUCCUGGAUCGAAAGAUUUGGGUAACCCGCGAAUCUCCUUCGUGCUAGGGAUUGAGGUUUGCAAUUAUCCUUCAUGAACGAGGAAUUCCCAGUAAGUGCGAGUCGUAAGCUUGCGCUGACUACGUCCCUGCCCUUUGUACACACCGCCCGUCGCUACUACCGAUUGAAUGAUUUAGUGAGGACUUCGGACUGGGACCGAUGCGGCUUUCGGGCUGCGUCGGUAUUCUGGAAAGAUGUCCAAACUGUAUCAUUUAGAGGAAGUAAAAGUCGUAACA